rnacentral:rRNA from 1 species
UGAACGCUGGCGGCGUGCUUAACACAUGCAAGUCGCACGAGAACGCUUCAGCUUGCUGAAGUUAGUAAAGUGGCGCACGGGUGAGUAACGCGUGGGUAAUCUACCCCCGAAUUGGGGAUAACCCGCCGAAAGGCGGGCUAAUACCGGAUAAUAUCUUAAAAACCUCGGUUUUAAAGAUCAAAGGUGGCCUCUACAUGUAAGCUUCUGUUUGGGGAUGAGCCCGCGUACCAUUAGCUUGUUGGUAGGGUAAUGGCCUACCAAGGCUGCGAUGGUUAGCUGGUCUGAGAGGAUGAUCAGCCACACUGGAACUGACACACGGUCCAGACUCCUACGGGAGGCAGCAGUGAGGAAUUUUGCGCAAUGGGGGAAACCCUGACGCAGCAACGCCGCGUGAGUGAUGAAGGCUUUCGGGUCGUAAAGCUCUGUCAAGUGGGAAGAACCCACAUGGUGAUAAUACCGCCAUGUGUUGACGGUACCACUGAAGGAAGCACCGGCUAACUCC